rnacentral:lncRNA from 10 species
UUUAAGCACAUGUAAGUGGUUCAGCACAGUAUGCCUUUUUCUGUGCUUUGAAAACUUGAUAUGCUCAAGCUUGUUUGAAUUUAUUACAUCUAACCAUUUUGCUUGUUCCUUGAUUUUUAUAAGCAUUCAAUUAAGUUAGUAUUAUGUCAAGUAAUUUUGAGAAAAUGUAACUUGACAUUUUUUGCAAGUAAAAAAAAUUGUUUAUUUGUUUAGGCUUAGUAAACCAGUUCCCAAACACAGUCAGACUCUUCCCAUUGUCAUCUGAUUGCAGAGAGAAAGCACACCUUAUUUCCAGGGAAAGCUACAACAAGCCCAAGGUCAAAGUGUAUUAUUUUUUGUCUUGUUGUUGUCUAUUUUCUCCCAAUUUUUUUUUGAAAUUCAGAGUGCUGGGAUUACAGGUGUGAGCCACCGCGCCCAGCCUAUUCUUUACUUAAACUUGUUUUCACUUUGCUGUAUGGACUCAAUUCUUUCUUGCACAAGAUCCAAGAAUCCUCUCUUGGCGUCUGGAUCCAGACCCUUUCUGGUAUCAGUGGUAAGCUCUGUUUAAGACAACUGUCAUACCCAAGAGAAUUCUUAAAUUGUGGCAGUUAAAAAUGUAUUUAUCCCCUCGAGGGCCGGGCGCAGUCGCUCAAGCCCGUAAUCCCAGCACUUUGGGAGGCCGAGGAGGCGGAUCAUGAGGUCAGGAGUUCAAGACCAGCCUGACCAACACUGUGAAACCCUGUCUCUACUAAAAAUACAAAAAAAAUUAGCCAGGCGUGGUGGUGGGCACCUGUAAUCCCAGCUACUCGGGAGGCUGAGGCAGGAGAAUCACUUGAACCCGGGAGGCAGAGGUUGCAGUGAGCCGAGAUGACACCACUGCCCUCCAGCCUGGGUGACAGUUGUUAGACUGCGUAUC